UUGGGUUUAAGGGUCCGUAGGCGGGCCUGUAAGUCAGUGGUGAAAUCUCACAGCUUAACUGUGAAACUGCCAUUGAUACUGCAGGUCUUGAGUAAAUUUGAAGUGGCUGGAAUAAGUAGUGUAGCGGUGAAAUGCAUAGAUAUUACUUAGAACACCAAUUGCGAAGGCAGGUCACUAAGAUUUAACUGACGCUGAUGGACGAAAGCGUGGGGAGCGAACAGGAUUAGAUACCCUGGUAGUCCACGCCGUAAACGAUGCUAACUCGUUUUUGGUAUUUCGGUAUCAGAGACCAAGCGAAGGUGAUAAGUUAGCCACCUGGGGAGUACGUUCGCAAGAAUGAAACUCAAAGGAAUUGACGGGGGCCCGCACAAGCGGUGGAUUAUGUGGUUUAAUUCGAUGAUACGCGAGGAACCUUACCAAGGCUUAAAUGGGAAAUGACAGAUUUAGAAAUAGAUCCUUCUUCGGACAUUUUUCAAGGUGCUGCAUGGUUGUCGUCAGCUCGUGCCGUGAGGUGUUAGGUUAAGUCCUGCAACGAGCGCAACCCCUGUCACUAGUUGCUACCAUUCAGUUGAGGACUCUAGUGAGACUGCCUACGCAAGUAGAGAGGAAGGUGGGGAUGACGUCAAAUC
rnacentral:rRNA from 1 species